UUGCGUUGUAAGGCCCAGCCUUGCGUUGAUAAUUCCUUUGCCAGGAAUUAUCCAAACCCAUCGGCGACGUCAGCGCCCGCAUCGCAACACACUGCGACCGCAGCGCGGGGCGUCGCCCAAAACCGUCAU
rnacentral:misc_RNA from 1 species